rnacentral:rRNA from 1 species
AUUGAACGCUGGCGGCAUGCUUUACACAUGCAAGUCGAACGGUAACAGGGUGCUUGCACCGCUGACGAGUGGCGAACGGGUGAGUAAUGCGUCGGAACGCACCGAGUAAUGGGGGAUCACGCAGCGAAAGCUGUGCUAAUACCGCAUACGCUCUGAGGAGGAAAGCGGGGGACCGUCGGGCCUCGCGUUAUUCGAGCGGCCGACGUCUGAUUAGCUAGUAGGUGAGGUAAGAGCUCACCUAGGCGACGAUAAGUAGCGGGUCUGAGAGGAUGAUCCGCGACACUGGGACUGAGACACGGCCCAGACUCCUACGGGAGGCAGCAGUGGGGAAUUUUGGAUAAUGGGCGCAAGCCUGAUCCAGCCAUGCCGCGUGUCUGAAGAAGGCCUUCGGGUUGUAAAGGACUUUUGUCAGGGAGGAAAUCCUUAGCGCUAAUACCGUUGAGGGAUGACAGUACCUGAAGAAUAAGCACCGGCUAACUACGUGCCAGCCGCCGCCGUAAUAC